rnacentral:rRNA from 1 species
UACAGAGGGUGCAAGCGUUAAUCGGAAUUACUGGGCGUAAAGCGCGCGUAGGUGGUUUGUUAAGUUGGAUGUGAAAGCCCCGGGCUCAACCUGGGAACUGCAUUCAAAACUGACAAGCUAGAGUAUGGUAGAGGGUGGUGGAAUUUCCUGUGUAGCGGUGAAAUGCGUAGAUAUAGGAAGGAACACCAGUGGCGAAGGCGACCACCUGGACUGAUACUGACACUGAGGUGCGAAAGCGUGGGGAGCGAACAGG